GCAGCAAAAUGUCUAGGACUUGCUGAGGAUAAUUGAGAAGAAGUGAGGCAGACGGUGGAGUUUGUGGGUACAGCUCGGUUGAGGCACCGCUCAGCUUCCAGUGCUGUGAUUUUUAAUUGAUAGCAAGUGGAGCCCUCUACAGAUUCCUGAGGCAAGUUAAUUCUGUGAGGGGAAGUGCUCACAUGCUUACUAACGUUUGCUCAACAAGGGCAGCAAAACAUUCCGUUUGUUCAGAAUAGCCUUUUCCCUAAGGCAAAGGAGACGUAAUGUGCUGAGAACAGAGGACUGCAGUGACCCCUGCAAUUGAGCUGAGCGGAAGCGCUCUCUAGGCAAAGACUACCAUCCCCUUUGUCUGAAGUGCUACCCGUGCAAACGGCAGCUCNGUCCUGGCCAGCACGCUGAGGAGUGGCGCUGUGUACGUGACAAAGUGACCCAGAUCCGAGCAGACAACAGUGUUGUGGAUUCAUCGCCAAACCAGCAGCUUCAACCAGGAGACUGGGUGUACCGUAAGGUGUAUCAACGUUCCAACUGUCUUGCCCCAUGUUGGACAGGACCGUACCAAGUACUCCUGGUGGUACACAGCAGCGCCAAGCUUGAAGGUCUGCAGAAUUGGGUUCACUUGAGUCAUCUAAGGCAUGCUCCUUUCCCCACAGAAAAAGACUAAAUGGAACUGAUUAAUUUGAACUAAUUAAACUGAUAUCCUGAGACAACAUCAGAAAGAAGACAGAAGAAAGAAGGGAGGGUGAAGUUGGACAACAAAAUCCUGAAGAGCUCUGAAGAAAAAAACACAUAUGGACUCAAAAAAAAAAGAAUUUUUGCUUUUGCCUCUAUCUUAGUAUUAGAUGCUUAUUUCAUUUAGCUGCUCAAUCUUAAUAUUUUAAAAUCUGCUCAUAAUUGCAUUUACUCCAUUUAAUAAUUGCUAUAUGGAUAUUGCUUUGAUUGCAGGUAUAACUUUUAGCAUAUUAGUUAUAGUCAACUCAUGGUGCAACAGAUACAAUAGUUGUCUGACCUGAAAAAGGUCAGAAGGGGGGAGUACUGUGAAGCUAAAAUGGAGGUUUGUGAAGAGGAUUAUGGGAAUUUGGAGCAAUAUACAGAGUGCAUUCCAGCCUGAGCAAAAGUAGCUUUGGCUAGGAAUGAACUCAUGCACAGGGGAUACAGGAUGGCUGAUAACAUCCCGUCNUAAACCGGUGUGUUCAUUAAAACUGGCAGGAGAUGUUGGAGUGNGUUGGAGAAUGGGAAACAUAAGAUAGUAGAGAAAACUNUUUGUUGUAGCCNGACCUGUUAUCNGCUAUGUUGAAGGUCGACUGAAUCCAGUUAAUGAUGUUACGCUUUCUUUACACUUUUGAAUGUAAUUGGUCAAACUAUGAAUAUGCAUGCUCAAACCACACCUANUNUAACUUGCUCAUUUAGUAUUACUCUAUAUAANCUUUGUUUGUUAACCAAAANGUGCGACUCCAUUGUCAUUGAUUAAUGGCAAGGUUGCCCUA
ensembl:lncRNA